AACAUAAUGAACUGUAUUCAAGGGUCGCAGCAUUAGGAAGGUUGAGGACCACUGGCUUGGACUCUGCCCUCCAAAGGUAUUAGAGUUGUCUCAGUCUGUCUCCACAGAGAAUGUUGCUUUAAAGCUCAUCCCUGCAUCCUCCUUCCCAGAAGCUUUCAAACCCAUAUUUACAUCCUUCUCAUGGGAAGAGAUAAGUAGCAGGCCAGAGGUAGGAUUAGCCCAAAAUAUGAGCAAAGCAGUUUUCAAAAUGCAAACCUAGAAAGUCUGUACCUCAGCCCCCAGGGACCCUAUUAAACCCUGGCUGUCCAGCUGCCCUGAUUGCCUGACCAGGGCAGGCUUACAGCAGUGCUCCGCUCUCUAACAAGCUCCCCGGGAACUUGUAUGCCCAAGAAAAUGUGGGAGCUGCCAGCAGAGUUUGCCUGCAUUCUGUAACAUGUCAGGGCUGAACCCAGUAGGACGGCUGGUUUGGCUUUAGGAACUGAUACACCUGUCGGUGGCACAGCAGUUCUGCCCACAUCACACCGUGUCUGACAGAGCCCCUUCCGCACAGAGCUGGCCGGGCAACUCACAGCCUUGAGAUUUGCAGACCUGAGUGCCGUGAGAUUUCAGCAUGGUUCCCAGGACAACAAACACAUGGGACAGGAAAAGAGAGAGGGAACCAGCCACACGAAGCCUGGUGGCAGUCCCGGGACCAUGAUGAUGCUCUACCCAGCUGCUUGGCCUGUUUGGAGAAGAGACCAGCUCAGGUUUUCCAGGAACAUGUGUCAAGGGAAUGACUAAAAAGAAGGGGGAAGAGGACGUGAUCGCAAGGGCUCCUGCCCAGUGGCCUGAUCUGUGCUCCAGCUUCCUUACAAAGAUUAAGCUAUGACUCUGAUACCAGCAGAGCCAGAGUGUGGGCUGGCCCUCCAGGAGCCCACCACACCUACUGCCCACCUAUGUGUCCACUUGCUUCUCUCCACCACCCAGAUGCUCAUCAAGCCUCAGCUUGCUCAUCUGUGAAGUGGGAAACUAUGGAUCCAGUCCCCCGGGGUUAUCUGGACAUGGUGGCCUACUCUUUGAGUCCUGGCACCCAGGAGGCAGGAAGAGUGACACAAAGUGCAGGCCAGUCAGAGCUACAGAGUCUUUCCCCAAAAUCAGUUAAGAUAAAAUUCUGUUUUGGAUUUUUUAAAAAUUUUGUGUAUGAA